GACGAACGCUGGCGGCGUGCUUAACACAUGCAAGUCGAACGAUGAAACCUAGCUUGCUAGGUCGAUUAGUGGCGAACGGGUGAGUAACACGUGACUAACCUGCCCCUUUCUCUGGGAUAACGCUCCGAAAGGAGUGCUAAUACCGGAUACUCACAUCGAGGCACAUGCCUUGGUGUGGAAAGUUUUUCGGAAAGGGAUGGAGUCGCGGCCUAUCAGCUUGUUGGUGAUGUAACGGCUCACCAAGGCGACGACGGGUAGCCGGCCUGAGAGGGCGACCGGGCACACUGGGACUGAGACACGGCCCAGACUCCUACGGGAGGCAGCAGUGGGGAAUAUUGCACAAAGGGCGCAAGCCUGAUGCAGCGACGCCGCGUGAGGGAUGAAGGUCUUCGGAUUGUAAACCUCUUUCAGUAGGGACGAAGCGAAAGUGACGGUACCUAAAGAAGAAGCACCGGCUAACUACGUGCCAGCAGCCGCGGUAA
rnacentral:rRNA from 1 species